AUUGAACGCUGGCGGCAGGCCUAACACAUGCAAGUCGAACGAGUGGCGGACGGGUGAGUAAUGUCUGGGAAACUGCCUGAUGGAGGGGGAUAACUACUGGAAACGGUAGCUAAUACCGCAUACCAUCGGAUGUGCCCAGAUGGGAUUAGCUAGUAGGUGGGGUAAAGGCUCACCUAGGCGACGAUCCCUAGCUGGUCUGAGAGGAUGACCCGCCACACUGGAACUGAGACACGGGCCAGACUCCCACGGGAGGCAGGAGGGGGGAAUAUUGCAAAAUGGGCGCAAGCCUGAUAGAGCCAAGGCGCGUGUAUGAAGAAGGGCUUCGGGGUGGUAAGUACUUUCCGCGGGGAGGAGGUAACCGCAGAAGAAGCACCGGCUAACUCCGUGCCAGCAGCCGCGGUAAUUC
rnacentral:rRNA from 1 species